ACAGCAGCAGCCACGGUAAUACGUAGGUGGCAAGCGUUGUCCGGAUUUAUUGGGCGUAAAGGGAGCGCAGGCGGUUUAGUAAGUCUGAAGUUAAAGGCAUUGGCUCAACCAAUGUAUGCUUUGGAAACUGUUAGACUUGAGUGCAGAAGGGGAGAGUGGAAUUCCAUGUGUAGCGGUGGAAUGCGUAGAUAUAUGGAGGAACACCAGUGGCGAAGGCGGCUUUUUGGCCUGUAACUGACACUGAGGCGCGAAAGCGUGGGGAGCAAACAGGAUUAGAUACCCCUGUAGUCCCUGUCUCUUAUACA
rnacentral:rRNA from 1 species